AGAUCAGCCCUGGGGUUCAGAGGGAUCCUGACGGCUACUCCUCAAGAUCCUCUCUGUUGUGAUUCAUCCCCCCCGGGCCCUACAGUUUCUCCUUCCUGACUCUUACAUUUCUUUGGAUGGCAUCAUUAUUUACCUGUCUCCUCCCAUAGUUAGGUGCCAAGCACUGUGGAUUCUGCCCCUCAGUGUCCAGACACCCAUUUUCCUUCCCACUGUUCCUUCCCCAUGGAGAAGCCUGUGGCUGGCUGACAGCAGAGAGAGAUGCUCAACUUGGAGAAGGUGUUACCUGGGCCAGGUGGGGAAGGUUUGUUUGCAGAGCAAAGAAGUGAAGGAAGUAUUAACCCUUUGCAUGGCCUCCUGAGAAUCCGACAAGACCCUAUUCAACGUGAAAAAGAUGAGGAUGAAGACCUUUAUUAUGAUCCACUUCCAAGUAAUGAACACACUGGAGAAAGUCAGACAGUCAAAACAAUGUCCCAGACUCCGUGAAGUUCCUGGGUAGAGAAGGAGACAGACAUAUACCAUACCUAAUAAUUGGAUGUCCGAGAGAAUGAGAGAAUGGCAGAAAGAACUUUAGAGCAUGGGUAUGAUGGCUAGAGCUUGAGCAGCCAUUGUGGACAUCAGAUGAACUUGAAAGUGAAAACUAUGAGCUGAAUACGACAAAGCAAACAGAUAGAAAACUGGAUUCAUUAUGACAUUGCAAAGCUGCCAGACCAGCUCUAGUCUGCUUCCCCCUAAUCUUCCUUACUAAGAGAGAGAAAUAAACUUCCAUCUUCUU
rnacentral:antisense_RNA from 1 species